rnacentral:rRNA from 1 species
UUGGAGGGCAAGUCUGGUGCCAGCAGCCGCGGUAAUUCCAGCUCCAAUAGCGUAUAUUAAAGUUGUUGCAGUUAAAAAGCUCGUAGUUGAAUUUCGGGGUUAGUAGGUUGGUCAUGCCUCUGGUAUGUACUGGUCUCACUGAUUCCUCCUUCCUGAUGAACCGUAAUGCCAUUAAUUUGGUGUUGCGGGGAAUUUGGACUGUUACUUUGAAAAAAUUAGAGUGUUUAAAGCAAGCUAACGCUUGAAUACAUUAGCAUGGAAUAAUGAAAUAGGACGUUCGAUCUUAUUUUGUUGGUUUCUAGGAUUGACGUAAUGAUUAAUAGGGAUAGUUGGGGGCAUUAGUAUUCAAUUGUCAGAGGUGAAAUUCUUGGAUUUAUUGAAGACUAACUACUGCGAAAGCAUUUGCCAAGGAUGUUUUCAUUAAUCAAGAACGAAAGUUAGGGGAUCGAAGACGAUCAGAUACCGUCGUAGUCUUAACCAUAAACUAUGCCGACUAGGGAUCGGAUGAUGUUAAUUUUUUAAUGACUCAUUCGGCACCUUACGGGAAAC